rnacentral:tRNA from 1 species
UGUGGUUCAGUUAGUAGAAUGCUUGCCUACCACGCAUGAAGCCCUGGGUUCAAUCCCCAGCA